AGGUUGUGAUCCUUCUGUCAUCCGCGAACAACAACUUUCAAAAACUCAUCAUACUUUUCCAUCUUCUCUUGAAACACAGCUGAUGCUUCCUCCAUGCUUAGUAUUUUUUGACCAGCAUCACCACCGUAAACCUUCAUCGGUCACAAAGAAAGUUAAUUAAUAAGAAAAUAAAUUCAAAACAGAAAAUAAAUUUAAAUGAAAACAAAAAUAAUUAAUGAUCAGCAUACCAUUGGAUUUGUCGCAAAGUUGAUUUGCGUCGGCAGAGGUAAAGUGAGCCUGUGCUAGGGUUUUGGAUGUGUUGAUGUUGAGUUUGUUGUGCCCUAAUUAC
rnacentral:lncRNA from 1 species